rnacentral:lncRNA from 1 species
GCAGAUAUCAACUUUUGGAGAUAUUUUCAGUUUUUAUACUGCUUUCUAGUCAAAGAUUAUAAAAUAGUACUGUUUUUACAUUCCUGUGUAACUUUAUUCCACUUUUUUAUUUGCAGUAACUAAAUGGCAAAACAUUCCAAUGCCCCUAUGAUCUAGCUACACUUUAGUAAGAUCAGUAGGCCAAGUCUAAACUCUUCCUGACAAAUCUAGAAGUAUAGGACUUGAAAUUGAAUCUGUAUACUCUAAACAUCACUAUACUAUAUCAUUAUACUGAUGACUUCUAUACCUUAUAACCAUCUUGAAGGAUGGACAUUGGCAGCAUCCUAUUUUUCUCUAAAUGUAUAUGUAGAUAUAGCAUCCAGAAUUGAACUGGAUAUUCUAAAAUAUUACAUUGACAAUUAUUACAUGCGAUCAUUGACAACAUCAUCAUAGUAUGGGAUGACAAAACUGAGAUGGAUGAACUUUUAUAAACUCUGACACUGCCAGCCUAUGGCCUCACACUGAAGAAAGAUCAAGUCUGCAAGUGGGAAGUGCAUUUCCUUGAUAUUCACAUAAGACAUAGAGAUGAUGAAAUAAUAACUGCAGUGUAUAGAAAACCCUCAUAUGUGCCUAUCAUAAUACUUAGAUGGUCAGAUGACCCUAUAACAUACAAAAAAGCCACGUUUAGAUUGUUUUCAAAAGGGCAAAAAUAUACACCUCAGACCAAAAGUACCCAAAACAGGAGAUUAACUACGUCUAUGAUAUAGGGUACAAACACAGGUACAGGAAGAAAUUCUUAAACCAAUCCAUAAAUCAGUGAAAAGAAAUCUAAGGGGCAACAUACAGAAGAGAACCCAACAGCAGUAAUGUCUGGCUAUAUACCAGUACUAUACCCUUUCAACAAGAUGACCUUUGCUAAAAAGAUAAAGAAAGGAAUAGCCGUUAGUAGGGCCCCAACACUCUUCAAUAGACUUAGAAAUGAGAACAAUCAAAAGGAAGAGCAUGAAAAAAUAGGAGUCUAUAGGAUACUGGUCACUAAUCAAGAGACAAAAGAGCAAGCAGUGUACAUCGGAGUGACUAAUAGGACCUCAGACCAAUGUUUACAACAUAAAAAUGAUAUAGCUAAGGCCAAAUUAACAUAGCUCUAGUGAUGUCUGCCGACAAUGCUGAUCUUACUAUAAAUUGGGACCAAGCUAGAAUCAUAAAGCCAGUAAAUGCUAUCUCCCAGGCCUGACUACUGA